GCCCUUGUGGACCAUGGUGGUCACCUCGUUCUAUUAAGUCAAAAUCUUUGGGGAAUUCAACGAGGAAUAGGGGGGUUCGAUUCCCUCCGAGGGCG